UAUGAGGUGGUCGAUUUAAGUCGGUAGAUUGUAAAUCUAUGAAUAAGUUAUUUACUUUCUCAUG
rnacentral:tRNA from 1 species